GUGGGGAAUUUUGGACAAUGGGGGCAACCCUGAUCCAGCAAUGCCGCGUGUGUGAAGAAGGCCUUCGGGUUGUAAAGCACUUUUGUCCGGGAAGAAAUCGCACCUGAUAAUACCGGGUGUGGAUGACGGUACCGGAAGAAUAAGGACCGGCUAACUACGUGCCAGCAGCCGCGGUAAUACGUAGGGUCCAAGCGUUAAUCGGAAUUACUGGGCGUAAAGCGUGCGCAGGCGGUUGUGCAAGACCGAUGUGAAAUCCCCGGGCUUAACCUGGGAAUUGCAUUGGUGACUGCACGGCUAGAGUGUGUCAGAGGGGGGUAGAAUUCCACGUGUAGCAGUGAAAUGCGUAGAGAUGUGGAGGAAUACCGAUGGCGAAGGCAGCCCCCUGGGAUAACACUGACGCUCAUGCACGAAAGCGUGGGGAGCAAACAGGAUUAGAUACCCUAGUAGUCC
rnacentral:rRNA from 1 species